rnacentral:sRNA from 1 species
AGACUUCUCCAACUGACUUUUGGAGUUAAUAGCUUUCGGAACGCCUUGGUUGUAAUACGGUGUGACGUUUCCCUCUCGUUCGCGAACACUCGGAGAAUCAUUCGUAGGUGGUGAGCGGAAGCUUGAUGUAUCAAAACUAUUCGAUUUUACACUGGUUGAAGGCGAAAUUGGUUGAUCUUGGUCGUAAAAUUCCUUGAAAUAGCUAGAGCUUUGAAAUUUUUCAAAGGGAGACAAAAUAUCCUCUAUUGAAUUUAUUCCAGUAGAACUGUUGUGGCUUGGUUUUCUUACACGGUGAUCAAAACUGUGCGACCUCACCGGCGGCUCUGGUUUUUCGCCAUCUUGUUUUGGAUGGUGGCCAAGUGGUGGUGAUGAAAUUGUUGACUCGUACUUAGGUUUUAAAUUGUUUUCCAUGAGUGUACUAUCAAUGGUAAAGAGAUGCCCCUAUAGUAACAUAUGAAAUAUGGAAUAUACUCACUCUUUGUACUGCAAGGGGCUGACCAAACUCCCGUCCCCCUUGUAGGCGAAAUCCCCAAGGGAUAUUUUCGUGAGGACGCUGAAGCCAAAUUAUUUCCAUUCUUUUUAUUCGCUCGUUCACUUGGCUCUCUGUAGAUGUAAGUGAGCAGAAGAAGAAAAUUUAUCAGAGAAAGAACUCCAAAACAUGAUUCCACGUACGGACGGCAAAAAUAGAUAAGUGUGUUGCUAUAGAAACGAAUCCAUCAAUCAGUUUUAAGUUGAUGACUAUCUUGCAAAGUUUUAUGAAGGAAAGAGAAAUACAGAGUUUGAUAAGAUCCAGAUUAAGUAGAAGUCAGUCGAAUUUGAUGUGAGUCAACUCUACAAAGUAUAGCGAGGUUCACUGGCCUUUGUUUCAUUGUUACCACGUGCCGAUAUUUGCUUUUUUGUCGACUUUUUAUUUUUAAAACAAAGUAAAGUGAAGGACCUCUUGAUAAUACAUGUAUUUUUUAAAUGUGCUUUAUUAUUAUAUCAUCAUAAUCCAGGUCAUAAUAUUUUAUUUAAUGCAUUUUUAUUCGUUUCCAGGUCUAUAGAUUUGAUGAAAACAAUUUUAGCUAAUCGACGUCAUUGCAAAUUAAAAAUUCCGCCAUUUCCUCUCACUCAUAUGAGUAAUUAAUUAAGUUUUGUCUAAUUAUUCGUCGAAGCGAGAAGAAAUUUUCGUCAUUCUUGCGACGAUUUCCACCCUUAAGAAAAUGUCCAAACCUUUCAUUAUCGGCUGCAGGAGUGACUGAUAUAUUUGUAAUUUUGUCAGGCAGUGCGCAUCGGGAAAUGGGAGAUAAUUUUUGUUUUGACAAAAUACUCGUCUGUUUGAUUUAUAUUAUUUGUAAAAGACUUAAUUUUUCAUUAUCGAAAACGAGAGUGGUCAAGGGACCAGGGGGCCGUUUCACUAAAAGGCGUAACCUUACGCUUGGCGUAAAUCCGGACUUAAGGAGGCCGAUUUGGGUUUUUUUGCGGAAAAACUACAAUAGCAUAACUCUUUAUUUUUUAGAGAUAAGACGCACUAAUUACCAACCCACUGGUUUGAAAUAAAGAAAAAGUUAAAUUGUUAUUUUAUUUUCAGCCAUUUACAGCAAAAAGAAUUGAGGCCACUUACAUGGUUAUAUCAUUCAUUUCAAUGUAUUUAUCGUUUUUAGUUUUAAAGAAUAUGUUAAGAAAACAAUGAAGAAUAAAUUCGGACACAGUACAUGCGAACAACGAACAAAAAACAUGGUUCAACAUAUUACGCCUUUUAUGAUAUUAAUGUGUUAAGUGUUAAAUUCCCGUGCUUGCGCAGGGUAUCGUCUUGUAGAACUUAAUUAAGGUAAUAAUUUCAUAAAUUACCUGGUUUGACUUCUAUGCAUAACUCUGUGUUCUGAAUUUGCAAAUAAAAAAUGUUUUGAGAAUUUUGUAAUAAAUCUAUCAGUCCG